CUACCUAGCCCAGCAUUUACUUUGAUGAAAAGAGAGACAUCAGUUUCUAAGGGAAUGAGAGAAUGAAUGGACCAGAAUUACCAGAUAGCUCUUGAACCAAAUUUAGGUAUAAAAGUCUUACCUACGCUGAUGAAGAUGGCUUUUGAAAGGUGUACUGCAAGGAAAAAAAUGCCAUUGUAAAUUCUGCUCUUAUCAAGUAUUUCAGGUUUCUCUAAGAUAUUCAAAAGGUAAAGGACCUACUGCUUAAAUUCUAAUUUAAAGGUAAAAUUGCAUAUACAAUAAAACUCAUUUUUAAGAAUAGACUAACA
rnacentral:lncRNA from 1 species